CUCCCGGCGGUUGUUGUUCCACGGCGGCGGCGGCGGCGGCGGCGGCGGCGGCGCGGCAGCGGCAGCAGCCCCCUUCCCUCCGCCGAGGAGCCGGCUGGGCCUGGCGGGGCUUCCCCCCCGCCGGCCCCCGCCUCGCCUCGGGCCCGUCAGCGGCGAUGGAGCUGGAGGUGCCGGACGAGGCGGAGAGAGCCGAGGCGGGGGCCGUCCCUACGGAGGCGGAAUGGGCUGGGGAGAGUGGGGCGGCGGCGCCCUCGGCGACAGGUCUGCCGCAGAAGAAGUCAACUGUAAGUGAGUCUCCAAUGUUGUCUGGACAAUCCAGUGGACACGGGAAGAAGUUAGGUCAUCGGGGAGUUGAUGCUUCUGGAGAAACCACCUACAAAAAGACCACCUCCUCUACUCUUCGGGGGGCCAUCCAGUUAGGAAUUGGCUACACUGUAGGCAACCUGAGCUCCAAACCAGAGAGAGAUGUCCUCAUGCAGGAUUUUUAUGUGGUGGAGAGCAUCUUUUUCCCCAGUGAAGGAAGUAACCUCACUCCUGCCCAUCACUAUGCUGACUUCAGAUUCAAAACCUAUGCACCUGUGGCUUUUCGGUAUUUCCGAGAGCUCUUUGGUAUUCGUCCUGAUGACUAUUUGUAUUCCCUGUGCAACGAACCACUGAUUGAACUUUCCAACCCAGGUGCCAGUGGCUCCCUCUUCUAUGUCACUAGUGACGAUGAGUUCAUCAUUAAGACUGUGAUGCACAAGGAAGCAGAGUUCCUGCAGAAGCUGCUUCCUGGCUAUUACAUGAAUUUAAACCAGAAUCCUCGGACUCUGCUGCCUAAGUUUUAUGGGCUAUACUGUGUUCAGUCUGGAGGGAAGAACAUCCGGGUGGUGGUAAUGAACAACAUACUUCCCCGCUUAGUAAAGAUGCACCUUAAGUUUGACUUAAAGGGCUCUACAUACAAGCGACGGGCAAGCAAGAAGGAAAAGGAGAAGUCCAUCCCCACUUAUAAGGACCUGGACUUUAUGCAGGACAUGCCUGAGGGGCUGAUGCUGGAUGCUGACACUUUUACUGCACUGGUGAAAACUCUGCAGAGAGACUGUUUGGUAUUGGAGAGUUUUAAGAUCAUGGACUACAGCCUAUUGCUGGGGGUGCAUAAUAUCGACCAACAGGAACGGGAAAGGCAGACAGAGGGAGCCCAGAGCACGUCAGAUGAGAAACGUCCAGUUGGCCAGAAAGCUCUCUACUCUACUGCUAUGGAGUCUAUCCAGGGUGGGGCUGCCCGGGGGGAAUCUAUAGACACUGAUGACACGAUGGGUGGGAUCCCAGCAGUGAAUGGCCGUGGGGAGCGUCUACUGCUACAUAUAGGAAUAAUUGACAUCCUACAAUCUUACAGAUUCAUCAAGAAGCUGGAGCACACAUGGAAGGCUCUUGUCCAUGAUGGGGACACUGUCUCUGUGCACCGCCCCAGCUUCUAUGCUGAGAGAUUUUUCAAGUUCAUGAGCAACACAGUCUUUCGGAAGAACUCCUCUCUGAAAUCAUCACCAUCAAAGAAGGGCAGAACCACCUUGGUGACCGUCAAGCCUCCUGGACCAACAGCUGCCUUCUCUGCCAGCCAGAUUCCUAGUGAGAGGGAGGAAACACAUUAUGACCUUCGAGGAGCCCGGAGUUAUCCCACACUGGAGGACGAAGGCAGACCUGACUUACUACCCUGUACUCCUCCAUCAUUUGAAGAAGCAACUACAGCUUCCAUAGCUACAACCUUGUCAUCUACAUCCCUCUCCAUCCCUGAGCGAUCUCCUUCUGAGACCUCUGAGCAUCCUCGAUACAGGCGCCGCACACACUCCUCUGGACAUGAUACCCGAUCCCAUGAUGAAGUCCAUGUGGAAGAGGAUCUCCAGCAGAUCACUGUUGAAGUUGAAUCCAAAUCUAGCAUUGAUGUCAUGGCUCCCAAGGAAGAGGCUACAGGGGAAGAGGCUUCUUCUGCCAGCAUUAUGGUCACACCCCCGGCCACCGUGGAAGUGGAAACCGCCAGCCAGGCCUCAGAUGAAGACGAGGCACCUGUCACAGACAUCUACUUUUUCACGGAUGGGAGGUACUGGAUUUACUCUCCCCGCCAUCGCCGACUCCGGGCCAUCGUGCUGUCCCCCUCCAGGACUAUGAGGAAGCAGGUUCAGAGAGGUCAGCUGGCUUGUUCAUGCUCCAACAACUAAUGUUGAAGGUAGGAUGCAAAUCCAGGUGUCUCUAGACUCUGUGUUCUGUGCUCACCGUUUCCACCACAUUGAAGCUGAAACCCCAGCACCACGGGAAAAAGCAGUGCUUCUCUUCUACUCAAGCUCAGCUCUCAUGACCACGAAGUUGGCCCAUUCCGACCUGGGACUUUUCUUUACUAGGCCUGCUCCCAAGCUGUGGGGUGACAGCCGCUUCUCUCAUCCUAUCCCUGUCAUCAUAUGUAAGGAAACUCUUAAGUGUUGCAGGGCCAAAGGCUAUGAUAUGGCUGGAGGACAUGGGGAGGAAGAGGACUUGGUAUUUACAUGGGGCAGAGAGGUCACCUGAAACUUGACCUUUCCUCAUUCUGUCUAAGUAUGGCUCAGGUGAGGAGAGAGGGGAUUACAGUAUUCCCACUGGAAGCCCAGUUUCCCUGUUUCCAAGGCAGGAUUGGUGGGCAAAGCUGAGAUGGACAGACUGUCAGGGAUUCCCCUUCAAACUGUUUUGUUUAUGUCAGGUUUAAACUGUGUUAUUAACUAUCCGGAGGGAUCUCUCUGGCUCAGUAUUACUAGCCAGGCCAAAACAGCCACAGUCCAUCCCUCUUUAUCUCAUGCUGGACAGCCUAAGUUUCUAAGCCAGUGCCAGAAUACUAGCUUUCCUUUUGACUUCAAGCUUCAAUUAACAGGACCUCCUUCCCAGUUCCCCAGGAAAGCAGUUGCAGCAGAAUCAAUAGCUUGUUGGGCCUGAUGUCACCUCUUAAUUAAACACAAGUUAUUACCUCCUGAUUAAGAAGUAGAAGAGAAAUCCCAGGUCUGUAGCCUGGUGUCACUACAGUAAUUUCUAUGCAGACAUGAAGCCUGAAGCCAAGCCUAGUCCCCUCUCCAGGUUGCCGUGUUACCCUUGUGUUGAUAUUCU